rnacentral:rRNA from 1 species
GGGUUGUGAGGUUAAGCGACUAAGCGUACACGGUGGAUGCCCUGGCAGUCAGAGGCGAUGAAGGACGUGCUAAUCUGCGAUAAGCGUCGGUAAGGUGAUAUGAACCGUUAUAACCGGCGAUUUCCGAAUGGGGAAACCCAGUGUGAUUCGUCACACUAUCAUUAACUGAAUCCAUAGGUUAAUGAGGCGAACCGGGGGAACUGAAACAUCUAAGUACCCCGAGGAAAAGAAAUCAACCGAGAUUCCCCCAGUAGCGGCGAGCGAACGGGGAGCAGCCCAGAGCCUGAAUCAGUGUGUGUGUUAGUGGAAGCGUCUGGAAAGGCGCGCGAUACAGGGUGACAGCCCCGUACACAAAAAUGCACAUGCUGUGAGCUCGAUGAGUAGGGCGGGACACGUGGUAUCCUGUCUGAAUAUGGGGGGACCAUCCUCCAAGGCUAAAUACUCCUGACUGACCGAUAGUGAACCAGUACCGUGAGGGAAAGGCGAAAAGAACCCCGGCGAGGGGAGUGAAAAAGAACCUGAAACCGUGUACGUACAAGCAGUGGGAGCACGCUUAGGCGUGUGACUGCGUACCUUUUGUAUAAUGGGUCAGCGACUUAUAUUCUGUAGCAAGGUUAACCGAAUAGGGGAGCCGAAGGGAAACCGAGUCUUAACUGGGCGUUAAGUUGCAGGGUAUAGACCCGAAACCCGGUGAUCUAGCCAUGGGCAGGUUGAAGGUUGGGUAACACUAACUGGAGGACCGAACCGACUAAUGUUGAAAAAUUAGCGGAUGACUUGUGGCUGGGGGUGAAAGGCCAAUCAAACCGGGAGAUAGCUGGUUCUCCCCGAAAGCUAUUUAGGUAGCGCCUCGUGAAUUCAUCUCCGGGGGUAGAGCACUGUUUCGGCAAGGGGGUCAUCCCGACUUACCAACCCGAUGCAAACUGCGAAUACCGGAGAAUGUUAUCACGGGAGACACACGGCGGGUGCUAACGUCCGUCGUGAAGAGGGAAACAACCCAGACCGCCAGCUAAGGUCCCAAAGUCAUGGUUAAGUGGGAAACGAUGUGGGAAGGCCCAGACAGCCAGGAUGUUGGCUUAGAAGCAGCCAUCAUUUAAAGAAAGCGUAAUAGCUCACUGGUCGAGUCGGCCUGCGCGGAAGAUGUAACGGGGCUAAACCAUGCACCGAAGCUGCGGCAGCGACGCUGAUGCGUUGUUGGGUAGGGGAGCGUUCUGUAAGCCUGUGAAGGUGUGCUGUGAGGCAUGCUGGAGGUAUCAGAAGUGCGAAUGCUGACAUAAGUAACGAUAAAGCGGGUGAAAAGCCCGCUCGCCGGAAGACCAAGGGUUCCUGUCCAACGUUAAUCGGGGCAGGGUGAGUCGACCCCUAAGGCGAGGCCGAAAGGCGUAGUCGAUGGGAAACAGGUUAAUAUUCCUGUACUUGGUGUUACUGCGAAGGGGGGACGGAGAAGGCUAUGUUGGCCGGGCGACGGUUGUCCCGGUUUAAGCGUGUAGGCUGGUUUUCCAGGCAAAUCCGGAAAAUCAAGGCUGAGGCGUGAUGACGAGGCACUACGGUGCUGAAGCAACAAAUGCCCUGCUUCCAGGAAAAGCCUCUAAGCAUCAGGUAACAUCAAAUCGUACCCCAAACCGACACAGGUGGUCAGGUAGAGAAUACCAAGGCGCUUGAGAGAACUCGGGUGAAGGAACUAGGCAAAAUGGUGCCGUAACUUCGGGAGAAGGCACGCUGAUAUGUAGGUGAAGCGACUUGCUCGUGGAGCUGAAAUCAGUCGAAGAUACCAGCUGGCUGCAACUGUUUAUUAAAAACACAGCACUGUGCAAACACGAAAGUGGACGUAUACGGUGUGACGCCUGCCCGGUGCCGGAAGGUUAAUUGAUGGGGUCAGCGCAAGCGAAGCUCUUGAUCGAAGCCCCGGUAAACGGCGGCCGUAACUAUAACGGUCCUAAGGUAGCGAAAUUCCUUGUCGGGUAAGUUCCGACCUGCACGAAUGGCGUAAUGAUGGCCAGGCUGUCUCCACCCGAGACUCAGUGAAAUUGAACUCGCUGUGAAGAUGCAGUGUACCCGCGGCAAGACGGAAAGACCCCGUGAACCUUUACUAUAGCUUGACACUGAACAUUGAGCCUUGAUGUGUAGGAUAGGUGGGAGGCUUUGAAGUGUGGACGCCAGUCUGCAUGGAGCCG